rnacentral:rRNA from 1 species
UGGGGAAUAUUGGACAAUGGGCGCAAGCCUGAUCCAGCAAUACCACGUGAGUGAUGAAGGCCUUCGGGUUGUAAAACUCUUUUAGUAGGGAAGAUAAUGACUGUACCUACAGAAAAAGCACCGGCUAACUUCGUGCCAGCAGCCGCGGUAAUACGAAGGGUGCUAGCGUUGUUCGGAAUCAUUGGGCGUAAAGCGUGCGUAGGCGGCUUAACAAGUCAGCUGUGAAAGCCCAGGGCUUAACCCUGGAAUUGCAGUUGAAACUGUUUCGCUAGAGUAUGAAGAGGGAUAGUGGAAUUCUUAGUGUAGGGGUGAAAUCCGUAGAUAUUAAGAGGAACACCGGUGGCGAAAGCGACUAUCUAUGUCAUUACUGACGCUGUUGCACGAAAGCGUGGGGAGCAAACAGG